GGGAAACGUCUACACUACGGCUUUUCCCGUGGUGGUCUUCCUCUGGAUGAAAGAGACAGGAACGUGUCAGGUUAUAAAAACUGUCGAAAACUAUCGCCCAAUAAUCAGUUGAUUUGUGAACCCGUGCGGAAAACAGCCUGUGCCAAAUCGGAAGUUGUCGUUGCGUUUUUGUGACCACCCCAGUAAAUUAAUUUCGGAAGAAUCUCAAAAUGAAAUACGUGUUUGUGUCCUUUGCUCUCCUGGUGCUCGCCCUGGCCCUGGUUUCUGCUGCUCCUGCCGUCCAAGAUGAGUCGAUCGUUGUCGCUGCUCCACUUGAGGAGGGAGUACAGACAGCCGAAGCCAUCAAUCCCCAGGAUCCCCAGGCCAUUAUCGGUGGACAGAUCCUGAGACAGCUGAUGAGGCUGUUAACUCUGGGCUAAGCCGAGAGCCCUUUUUUCAGCACCUCAACCUCCAAACAUCGACACAAUUAUUAUUAAUUUAUUUUUAAUUAUUCGCUGGACUAUUGUCCUUCCGUUUCCCCAUUCCUGCAUUUUGUCUCCUCACAUAUCAAUCAAACACACUGCCAAACCGUGGUGUAUUUGUAGUUUUUUGUACCUCGUUGAUCACCAACAGCCCAACAUACCAAUAAAUAAUAUUAACAUAAAUCAAUAGUUGGAAAAUAUAAAUCACAUUGUACGAAAAA